UGGGGAAUAUUGGACAAUGGAGGGAACUCUGAUCCAGCAAUUCUGUGUGUGAGAAGAAGGUUUUAGGACUGUAAAACACUUUUAGAAGGGAAGAAAAAAAUGACGGUACCUACAGAAGAAGCAACGGCCAAAUACGAGCCAGCAGCCGCGGUAAUACGUAAGUUGCGAGCGUUAUCCGGAAUUAUUUGGCUUAAAGGGCAUCUAGGCGGUAAGACAAGUUGAAGGUGAAAACCUGUGGCUCAACCAUAUGCUUGCCUACAAAACUGUUGAACUAGAGUACUGGAAAGGUGGGUGGAACUACACGAGUAGAGGUGCAAUUCGUAGAUAUGUGUAGGAAUGCCGAUGAUGAAGAUAACUCACUCGACAGUAACUGACGCUGAAGUGCGACAGCUAGGGGAGCAAACAGG
rnacentral:rRNA from 1 species